UACGGAGGGGGCUAGCGUUGUUCGGAAUUACUGGGCGUAAAGCGCGCGUAGGCGGACCUGCAAGUCGGGGGUGAAAGCUCCAAGCUCAACUUGGAAAUGGCAUUGGAAACUACCUUGCUAGAGGGUUUGAGGGGGGACUGGAAUACUUGGUGUAGCAGUGAAAUGCGUAGAUAUCAAGUGGAACACCAGUGGCGAAGGCGAGUCCCUGGAAAACUCCUGACACUGAGGCACGAAAGCUAGGGGAGCAAACAGG
rnacentral:rRNA from 1 species